rnacentral:rRNA from 1 species
GAUGAACGCUAGCUACAGGCUUAACACAUGCAAGUCGAGGGACCGGCGCCCGGGUGAGUAACACGUAUCCAACCUGCCCUUUACUCGGGGAUAGCCUUUCGAUAGAAAGAUUAAUACCCGAUAUCAAGGAUUGGGAUGGGGUCUAUUAGGUUGUUGGUGAGGGAACGGCCCACCAAGAGUUCGAUGGAUAGGGGUUCUGAGAGGAAGGUCCCCCAGAGUUGAACUGAGACCCGGUCCAAUCUCCUACGGGAGGCAGGGGUGAGGAAUAUUGGUCAAUGGGCGCUAGCCUGAACCAGCCAAGUAGCGGGAAGGAUGAAGGGUUAUGGGUCGUAAACUUCUUUUAUAUAAGAAUAGGUAUUAUAUGAAUAAGGAUCGGCUAACUCCGUGCCAGCAGCCGCGGUAAUAC